AACGUAGGAGGCAAGCGUUAUCCGGAGUUACUGGGCGUAAAGCGUGCGUAGGCGGGUUGGUAAGUGGGUGGUGAAAGCGCUCGGCUAAACCGGGCGAGUGCCAUCCAGACUGCCAGUCUAGAGGCGGAUAGAGGGGUGCGGAAUUCCGGGUGUAGCGGUGAAAUGUGUAAGAGUACGCGAGGAACACCAGUGGUGCAAACGGCGCCCUGGGUCCGAAUUGACGCUGAUGCACGAAAGCGUGGGGAGCGAACGGG
rnacentral:rRNA from 1 species